GAACAUCGAAUACUGCGUGUAUCUACAGGGGAGCUUGGUGCUGCUCGGGCAAACCAAGACAAUGCAGACACAAAAGACUUAAAAGAGCAGGUUUCCAACCUCAAAGCAGCUUUAGCCAAGAAGGAAGAAGAAAUGGAGAACCUUUCUCGUCCAUUAACCAGCACUCCAGAAACAAUCUGGUCUACACUCCGAGGAAUGUGUCUUAUGCUAGUGAGG